rnacentral:lncRNA from 1 species
AAAUCAAUCCACAAUCAUAAUUAAGUAGUGUAAAAUCUCAAAACAAAAAUAUUUUAAAAAAUGAAAAUUAAUAUUUUUAAAAGUCCCAUCAUAUAAUUGUAAGUCUCACAUACCAUUAGUGCCAAGCUAUACACUAUGCGAGUUGUCUCAUUUAAUUUUUUUAUUUUAUUUUAUACUCCAUCCUUUCUAUUAUAUAAGUUCUUUUUAUUAUGUAAGUAGUUUGAGAAUAUAUUUUUUUCAUAAUAUAAAAUAUUUUACAUAUAUUUAGGAGAAAAAAUUAAUAUUU